rnacentral:rRNA from 1 species
UAAGGAAUAUUGGUCAAUGGACGCAAGUCUGAACCAGCCAUGCCGCGUGGAGGAUGAAGGUCCUCUGGAUUGUAAACUUCUUUUAUCUGGGAAGAAAUCCAUUUUUUCUAAAAUGGUUGACGGUACCAGAUGAAUAAGCACCGGCUAACUCCGUGCCAGCAGCCGCGGUAAUACGGAGGGUGCAAGCGUUAUCCGGAUUCACUGGGUUUAAAGGGUGCGUAGGUGGGUAAGUAAGUCAGUGGUGAAAUCUCCGGGCUUAACCCGGAAACUGCCAUUGAUACUAUUUGUCUUGAAUACUGUGGAGGUCAGCGGAAUAUGUCAUGUAGCGGUGAAAUGCUUAGAUAUGACAUAGAACACCAAUUGCGAAGGCAGCUGGCUACACAAAUAUUGACACUGAGGCACGAAAGCGUGGGGAUCAAACAGGAUUAGAUACCCUGGUAGUCCACGCCCUAAACUAUAGGAUACUCGACA